AUUGAACGCUGGCGGCAGGCCUAACACAUGCAAGUCGAGCGAGCGGCGGACGGGUGAGUAAUGUAUGGGGACUGCCCGAUAGAGGGGGGUAACUACUGGAAACGGUGGCUAAUAACGCAUACUAUCGGAUAACCCAUAGGGGAUUAGCUAGUGGGUGGGGUAAUGGCUCACCUAGGCGACGAUCCCUAGCUGGUCUGAGAGGAUGAUCAGCAACACGGGGACGGGGACAAGGCCCAGACUCCAAGGGAGGCAGCAGUGGGGAAUAUUGCACAAUGGGCGAAAGCAUGAUGCAGCCAUGCCGAGUGUAUGAAGAAGGCCCUAGGGUGGUAAAGUACUUUCAGUCGGGAGGCGUUACCGACAGAAGAAGCACCGGCUAACUCCGUGCCAGCAGCCGCGGUAAUAC
rnacentral:rRNA from 1 species